rnacentral:rRNA from 1 species
GACAGAGGUGCCGAGCGUUAGGCGGAAUCACUGGGCUUAAAGCGUGUGUAGGCGGGCCGUUAAGUGUCUUGUGAAAUCCCCCGGCUCAACCGGGGAAUUGCUGGGCAUACUGGCGGUCUUGAGCGAUCUAGGGGCAGAUGGAACAAGUGGUGGAGCGGUGAAAUGCGUAGAUAUCACUUGGAACGCCAAAGGUGAAGACAGUCUGCUGGGGAUCUGCUGACGCUGAGACACGAAGGCCAGGGGAGCGAACGGG